AACGAACGCUGGCGGCAGGCCUCAAACAUGCAAGUCUAGGGGGUGUAGCAAUACAUCACCGGCGGACGGGUGCGUAACGCGUGGGAAUAUACCUAUUGGUUCGGAACAACACAGGGAAACUUGUGCUAAUACCGAAUGUGCCCUUACGGGGAAAGAUUUAUCGCCAAUGGAUUAGCCCGCGUCCGAUUAGCUAGUUGGUGAGGUAACGGCUCACCAAGGCUCCGAUCGGUAGCUGUUCUGAGAGGAAGAUCAGCCACACUGGGACUGAGACACGGCCCAGACUCCUACGGGAGGCAGCAGUUGGGAAUAUUGGACAAUGGGCGAAAGCCUGAUCCAGCAAUGCCGCGUGGAUGAAGAAGGUCUUCGGAUUGUAAAGUCCUUUCGACGGGGACGAUGAUGACGGUACCCGUAGAAGAAGCCCCGGCUAACUUCGUGCCAGCAGCCGCGGUAAU
rnacentral:rRNA from 1 species